rnacentral:rRNA from 1 species
UACGGAGGGGGCUAGCGUUGUUCGGAAUUACUGGGCGUAAAGCGCACGUAGGCGGCUUUGUAAGUUAGAGGUGAAAGCCCGGAGCUCAACUCCGGAACUGCCUUUAAGACUGCAUCGCUUGAACGUCGGAGAGGUAAGUGGAAUUCCGAGUGUAGAGGUGAAAUUCGUAGAUAUUCGGAAGAACACCAGUGGCGAAGGCGGCUCACUGGACCGGUACUGGCGCUGAGGCGCGAAAGCGUGGGGAGCAAACAGG